rnacentral:rRNA from 1 species
GACGAACGCUGGCGGCGUGCUUAACACAUGCAAGUCGAACGGAAAGGCCCUGCUUUUGUGGGGUGCUCGAGUGGCGAACGGGUGAGUAACACGUGAGUAACCUGCCCUUGACUUUGGGAUAACUUCAUGAAACUUGGGCUAAUACCGGAUAGGAGCUCCUGCUGCAUGGUGGGGGUUGGAAAGUUUCGGCGGUUGGGGAUGGACUCGCGGCUUAUCAGCUUGUUGGUGGGGUAGUGGCUUACCAAGGCUUUGACGGGUAGCCGGCCUGAGAGGGUGACCGGCCACAUUGGGACUGAGAUACGGCCCAGACUCCUACGGGAGGCAGCAGUGGGGAAUAUUGCACAAUGGGCGGAAGCCUGAUGCAGCAAAGCCGCGUGCGGGAUGACGGCAUUCGGGUUGUAAACCGAUUUCGCCUGUGACGAAGCGUGAGUGACGGUAAUGGGUAAAGAAGCACCGGCUAACUACGUG